GAGGACUUAGCUUAAUAAAAGUAACUAAUUUGCAUUUAGUUGAUGUAGAAUGAGAUUCUGCAGUCUUUA
rnacentral:tRNA from 3 species